ACUCCUACGGGAGGCAGCAGUGGGGAAUAUUGCACAAUGGGGGAAACCCUGAUGCAGCCAUGCCGCGUGUGUGAAGAAGGCCUUCGGUUGUAAAGCACUUUCAGUAGGGAGGAAGGUAGUGUAGUUAACACCUGCACUAUUUGACGUUACCUACAGAAGAAGCACCGGCUAACUCCGUGCCAGCAGCCGCGGUAAUACGGAGGGGUGCGAGCGUUAAUCGGAAUUACUGGGCGUAAAGCGCAUGCAGGCGGCCUGUUAAGUCAGAUGUGAAAGCCCGGGGGCUUAACCUCGGAAUUGCAUUUGAAACUGGCAGGCUAGAGUCUUGUAGAGGGGGUAGAAUUUCAGGUGUAGCGGUGAAAUGCGUAGAGAUCUGAAGGAAUACCAGUGGCGAAGGCGGCCCCCUGGACAAAGACUGACGCUCAGAUGCGAAAGCGUGGGGAGCAAACAGGAUUAGAUACCCUGGUAGACUGUCA
rnacentral:rRNA from 1 species